rnacentral:tRNA from 1 species
AGUAAUAUGUCUGAUUUAAGAAAUAAACUGUAAAUUUAUUCAAAAAUAUUCUAACUAUUUUAUUACUA